GACAGAGGUCCCGAGCGUUAGGCGGAAUCACUGGGCUUAAAGCGUGUGUAGGCGGAUGCCUAAGUACCUUGUGAAAUCCCACGGCUUAACCGUGGAACUGCUUGGUAUACUGGGUGUCUUGAGCCACCUAGGGGCGAGCGGAACAAACGGUGGAGCGGUGAAAUGCGUAGAUAUCGUUUGGAACGCCAAUGGCGAAGGCAGCUCGCUGGGACGGUACUGACGCUGAGACGCGAAAGCGUGGGGAGCAAACAGG
rnacentral:rRNA from 1 species